rnacentral:rRNA from 1 species
CACGUAGGGCGCAAGCGUUGUCCGGAAUUAUUGGGCGUAAAGAGCUCGUAGGCGGUCUGUUGCGUCCGCUGUGAAAACUCGGGGCUUAACCCCGAGCCUGCAGUGGAUACGGGCAGACUAGAGGUAGGUAGGGGAGAAUGGAAUUCCCGGUGUAGCGGUGAAAUGCGCAGAUAUCGGGAGGAACACCGGUGUCGAAGGCGGUUCUCUGGGCCUUACCUGACGCUGAGGAGCGAAAGCGUGGGGAGCGAACAGG